rnacentral:lncRNA from 1 species
CAACUCUCUUGAACAAAGCAAAGAGUUCUGGAAUGGGAACACAGGAGAAUCAGAAGGCAAAGAACGAGUUCUAGGUUCCCAUCAAGCACAAGACCCAUUUUCACAGGAAGACAUAUCAGAACCUAUCAAGAAAUUGUUACCAGGAGUAUUGGUAAGUAUUGACCUGGGCACCUUUCAUUUAAGAGUGUUGCCAAAAUGUGGGGAUGAGUACAAAGAGCAUGGAUUAUAAUAAGGUGUAAGUAAAUUGUAUUCAGCAGCCAUCAUGGAUAGUCCCAUGAAAACCUCUAUCUUCUCUUGAAAAAUCUUACAUUAGUUCACUUACAUUUUCAGAAACAGAUGCUUCACUAAGAAAGCCUUCACAGGAAGUUUUAAAUCAUGGUUUAUUUUACACAUAAAAGUGAAAU